rnacentral:rRNA from 1 species
CACGUAGGGUGCAAGCGUUGUCCGGAAUUAUUGGGCGUAAAGAGCUCGUAGGCGGUCUGUUACGUCUGCUGUGAAAACCCUGGGCUUAACCCUGGGCUUGCAGUGGAUACGGGCAGACUAGAGGCAGGUAGGGGAGAAUGGAAUUCCUGGUGUAGCGGUGGAAUGCGCAGAUAUCAGGAGGAACACCGGUGGCGAAGGCGGGUCUCUGGGCAGUAACUGACGCUGAGGAGCGAAAGCGUGGGGAGCGAACAGG